rnacentral:rRNA from 1 species
AUACGUAGGGUGCGAGCGUUAAUCGGAAUUACUGGGCGUAAAGCGUGCGCAGGUGGUUUUGUAAGUCAGAUGUGAAAUCCCCGGGCUUAACCUGGGAACUGCGUUUGAAACUGCAAGGCUAGAGUGUGGCAGAGGGGGGUGGAAUUCCGCGUGUAGCAGUGAAAUGCGUAGAUAUGUGGAGGAACACCGAUGGCGAAGGCAGCCCCCUGGGUCAACACUGACGCUCAGGCACGAAAGCAUGGGGAGCAAACAGGAUUAGAUACCCCGGUAGUCC